UCACCUCCUUCAUCCGAGAUUACCCCGCUGAACUUAAGCAUAUCAAUAAGCGGAGGAAAAGAAACAACAGGGAUUGCCUCAGUAACGGCGAGUGAAGCGGCAAAAGCUCAAAUUUGAAACCCUCGGGAUUGUAAUUUGAAGAUUUGGCAUUGGAGAAAGCUAACCCAAGUUGCUUGGAAUAGUACGUCAUAGAGGGUGACAACCCCGUCUGGCUAACCGUUCUCCAUGUAUUGCCUUAUCAAAGAGUCGAGUUGUUUGGGAAUGCAGCUCAAAGUGGGUGGUAAACUCCAUCUAAAGCUAAAUACUGGUGAGAGACCGAUAGCGAACAAGUACUGUGAAGGAAAGGUGAAAAGAACUUUGAAAAGAGAGUGAAAUAGUAUGUGAAAUUGUUGAUAGGGAAGGAAAUGAGUGGAGAGUGGCCGAGGUUUCAGCCGCCCCUCGUGGGCGGUGUACUGCCGACGCCGAGUCAUCGAUAGCGAGACGAGGGUUACAAAUGGGAGCGCCUUCGGGCGUUCUCCCCUAACCCUCCACACUGCCACCGACGACAUAAUCCACCCAUUUACU
rnacentral:rRNA from 1 species